CUGCAGUAAAAAAUCUCGUAGUUGUAUCUUGGGAUCGAGCUGGCGGUCCGCCGCGAGGCGAGCUACCGACUGUCUCAGCCCCUGCCUCUCGGCGCCCCCUCGAUGCUCUUGGCUGAGAGUGUCCCGCGGGGUCCGAAGCGUUUACUUUGAAAAAAUUUGAGUGUUCAAAGCAGGCUACUCGCCUGAAUACUUCAGCUAGGAAUAAUGGAAUAGGACUCCGGUUCUAUUUUUUGGGUUUCCUGAACCGGGGCCAUGAUUAAGAGGGACGGCCGGGGGCAUUCGUAUUGUGCCGCUAGAGGUGAAAUUCUUGGACCGGUGCAAGACGAGCGAAAGCGAAAG
rnacentral:rRNA from 1 species